UACGUAGGGGGCUAGCGUUGUCCGGAAUUACUGGGCGUAAAGCGUGCGCAGGCGGUUCGUUAUGUCCGAUGUGAAAGCCCCGAGCUUAACUUGGGAAUGGCAUUGGAAACUGGCGGGCUGGAGUGCGGCAGAGGGGGGUGGAAUUCCACGUGUAGCAGUGAAAUGCGUAGAGAUGUGGAGGAACACCGAUGGCGAAGGCAGCCCCCUGGGCCGACACUGACGCUCAGGCACGAAAGCGUGGGGAGCAAACAGG
rnacentral:rRNA from 1 species